GGUUCGAUUUCGAGACACAGGCGCUUUUCCAUCGUAAAAGAAACGUUAUCGAAUUCUGCCGUGUUUACAGCCAUGCCAAUGCAGCAUGAGUUCGACACGAAUGGCCAUAAAAAGUUAGUAGCAACAACGCAGUUUUAUACAGUGCGGAUCAGUCCUUAGAGCAGUGCAGUUAAAUUCUCAAGUCACGUUUAAAAAUUCUGGUUGCGCGCGAAUUCAAUUUGUUCUUAGAGCCUUAAAGGUGAUACGAAGUUGAUGGAAACGAACGUUGGCAAAGCACAGACGUGAAACAUUCAACAGCUGUACCGCAGGAUGAGAAAAAAGUGCAACAGGCGCCAAGGAACACCCUGAAGUAUUAUUUUAAUAGAUUUAGUCCAACUUGAAAGUUGAUGGAGAUAUAAACGCGAUGAAUAUGGAUGACGACUAACUCGAAUACAGAACUUGCUAAUUUUAACUAAUUAGUAACAGUUUAAUUAUCUGGUGAAUUAAUUUCCUAAGGAACAGUCAGCUCUUGUGCUUUUGAAAAUUACACUAACAAAUAAACUGCUAGUUGUUAAACUGUUAGUUGUAUUUGUCAUCUAUUAUUCCGAUAAAAUUUUGUUCAUCUCUGCCACCAGCCAAUUACUGCCGAGUAAUUGGAAACUGUUCGAACUAUUAAUAGGGUCACGUGCAAGGCUGUAUUUGCCAGAAAAGCUUUGCUGAUGAGCCCAACUAACACAUUAGGGACGAAAAACACGUUUAUCUUCAAUAAUCGAAAUAAGUGAAUUAUAAGUCUCAAUAAUUCCUUAAUAACUAAUAAUUCUUAAAUUUUGGCAUGCAGAAGUUUUAAAGUUUGGUAUGCAAACAUUGAAUUUUAAGGAGAAAGGUCUUCUAAGUUUUCAAUGUUUAACUCUGAAAUUAAACGUCCUAUGAAUGAGCUGUCAAUAUAAAAAAGUUUCGUUUUGUCAUUCUCUAUAAGGUGAUAUUUUUUUUAAUAUUCACACCUCUACGCCUCUUACAAUUUCCAGCAUAAAUCGUCCGGAGUCAAAGGGCUAAGAAACACCCUGUACAUCACAGAAACCUAUGUUAUUCGAAAAAAUAAUGUUUGUCCCGAUUAUUUCUGUUUUUAAUUUGUUUCUUCACCUCACAAAGCAUCGUUUUCAAUUUUAUUCCCUACCAUUGCACUAUUUCGUAGUUGUAAUCGUGGAAAACACAGCCAAAGCGAAGCGUCUGAAGGAAAUAUUGAUUUCACGAGGUAAUGCUAUAUAGAAUUGUCUUAGUUCGUUUGCGUGUGAUUUAAGAAACGUCUUCGGGUAGUACGCUGCAGCUGCAGGAUUUAAGAUAUUCACGAGUGGAUCGUAAAAGAUGCAGUCCAAUCUCCGUGAGGUGUACUACCUAAUGGAAACCUUUUUGAGAAACUUUCUACUACGUAGUUAUCCAGCAAAAGUCAUUUCGCAUGGCCAACCGUUGAGGUUAUCUCGAAUGUUUACUGCCGAAAUUUGCUGCUGUUACUCACUGCGUUUUUUUCUCAUUUGCUUCAUUCCCGAAAGGAAAUGAACGUCAGAUACGCAUAAUUCCUCUCUUUGCUUAACCAUCCCGUGAAUAUUACGAAGUAAUUUAUUUAGGCAGAAGGAAAGGAAUUUUUAUUUGCUCAUAGCGAAUAUAAUAAUUCUCUUUGAGCUAGUACCACGAAAUGUUUAAAAUAUUUAUAGACACGUUUGCGGAUUAAAUGUUUGAAUAAUAAUAAAAAGUUUAUUAUAUAAUCAAAUAUACAGGGUGUCCCAGCCAAGUUUGA